rnacentral:rRNA from 1 species
AUUGAACGCUGGCGGCAGGCCUAACACAUGCAAGUCGAACGGCAGCACAGAAGAGCUUGCUCUUUGGGUGGCGAGUGGCGGACGGGUGAGUAAUGUCUGGGAAACUGCCCGAUGGAGGGGGAUAACUACUGGAAACGGUAGCUAAUACCGCAUAACGUCGCGAGACCAAAGUGGGGGACCUUCGGGCCUCACACCAUCGGAUGUGCCCAGAUGGGAUUAGCUAGUAGGUGGGGUAAUGGCUCACCUAGGCGACGAUCCCUAGCUGGUCUGAGGUGAUGACCAGCCACAAUGGAACAGGGACACGGUCCAGACUCCCACGGGAGGCAGCAGUGGGGAAUAUUGAAAAAUGGGCGCAAGCCUGAUGCUGCCAUGCCGCGUGUAUGAAGAAGGCCUUCGGGUUGUAAAGUACUUUCAGCGGGGAGGAAGGCGGUGAGGUUAAUAACCUUGCCGAUUGACGUUACCCGCAGAAGAAGCACCGGCUAACUCCGUGCCAGCCGCCGCAGUAA